rnacentral:rRNA from 1 species
GUGCAGCAGUCGAGAAAACUUCACACUGUGCGAAAGCACGAUGAGGGAAUCCCAAGUGCUUGCACGUAAGUGUAAGCUGUUUCUCUGUCUAAAACGCAGAGAGAGUAAGGGCUGGGUAAGACGGGUGCCAGCCGCCGCGGUAAUACCUGCAGCUCAAGUGGUGACCGUUAUUAUUGGGCCUAAAACGUCCGUAGCCGGUUUAAUAAAUGCCUGGGUAAAUUGUGUAGCUUAACUAUACGAAUUCCGGGUAGACUGUUAAACUUGAGACCGGGAGAAGUUAGAGGUACUCCUGGGGUAGAGGUGAAAUUCUGUAAUCCUAGGGGGACCACCAGUGGCGAAGGCGUCUAACUAGAACGGGUCUGACGGUGAGGGACGAAGCCCUGGGGCGCAAACGGGAUUAGAUACCGGGUAGU